rnacentral:miRNA from 1 species
CCAGACAGUAUGAAAAGCAGU